rnacentral:rRNA from 1 species
UACGGAGGAUGCAAGCGUUAUCCGGAAUGAUUGGGCGUAAAGCGUCCGCAGGUGGCGAUGUAAGUCUGCUGUUAAAGAGUGAGGCUCAACCUCAUAAGAGCAGUGGAAACUACAUAGCUAGAGUGCGGUAGGGGCAGAGGGAAUUUCCGGUGGAGCGGUGAAAUGCGUAGAGAUCGGAAAGAACACCAACGGCGAAAGCACUCUGCUGGGCCGACACUGACACUGGAGAGACGAAAGCUAGGGGAGCGAAUGGG